AACACACUGUCUGUAAUGUAAUGUCCUUCUGGGUCACCAGAGGUUCCAUCUGUCUCUGUCUAACACACUGUCUGUAAUGUAAUGUCCUUCUGGGUCACCAGAGGUUCCAUCUGUCUCUGUCUAACACACUGUCUGUAAUGUAAUGUCCUUCUGGGUCACCAGAGGUUCCAUCUGUCUCUGUCUAACACACUGUCUCUAAUGUAAUGUCCUUCUGGGCCACCAGAGGUUCCAUCUGUCUCUGUCUAACACACUGUCUGUAAUGUAAUGUCCUUCUGGGUCACCAGAGGUUCCAUCUGUCUCUGUCUAACACACUGUCUCUAAUGUAAUGUCCUUCUGGGUCACCAGAGGUUCCAUCUGUCUCUGUCUAACACACUGUCUCUAAUGUAAUGUCCUUCUGGGUCACCAGAGGUUCCAUCUGUCUCUGUCUAACACACUGUCUCUAAUGUAAUGUCCUUCUGGGCCACCAGAGGUUCCAUCUGUCUCUGUCUAACACACUGUCUCUAAUGUAAUGUCCUUCUGGGUCACCAGAGGUUCCAUCUGUCUCUGUCUAACACACUGUCUCUAAUGUAAUGUCCUUCUGGGCCACCAGAG